rnacentral:rRNA from 1 species
GGGUUGUGAGGUUAAGCGACUAAGCGUACACGGUGGAUGCCCUGGCAGUCAGAGGCGAUGAAGGACGUGCUAAUCUGCGAAAAGCGUCGGUAAGGUGAUAUGAACCGUUAUAACCGGCGAUGUCCGAAUGGGGAAACCCAGUGCAAUUCGUUGCACUAUCGUUAACUGAAUACAUAGGUUAACGAGGCGAACCGGGGGAACUGAAACAUCUAAGUACCCCGAGGAAAAGAAAUCAACCGAGAUUCCCCCAGUAGCGGCGAGCGAACGGGGAGCAGCCCAGAGUCUGAAUCAGCUUGUGUGUUAGUGGAACGGUCUGGAAAGUCCGACGGUACAGGGUGAUAGUCCCGUACACCAAAAUGCACAGGCUGUGAACUCGAAGAGUAGGGCGGGACACGUGGUAUCCUGUCUGAAUAUGGGGGGACCAUCCUCCAAGGCUAAAUACUCCUGACUGACCGAUAGUGAACCAGUACCGUGAGGGAAAGGCGAAAAGAACCCCGGCGAGGGGAGUGAAAAAGAACCUGAAACCGUGUACGUACAAGCAGUGGGAGCACCUUCGGGUGUGACUGCGUACCUUUUGUAUAAUGGGUCAGCGACUUAUAUUCUGUAGCAAGGUUAACCGUAUAGGGGAGCCGCAGGGAAACCGAGUCUUAACUGGGCGUUAAGUUGCAGGGUAUAGACCCGAAACCCGGUGAUCUAGCCAUGGGCAGGUUGAAGGUUGGGUAACACUAACUGGAGGACCGAACCGACUAAUGUUGAAAAAUUAGCGGAUGACUUGUGGCUGGGGGUGAAAGGCCAAUCAAACCGGGAGAUAGCUGGUUCUCCCCGAAAGCUAUUUAGGUAGCGCCUCGUGAACUCAUCUUCGGGGGUAGAGCACUGUUUCGGCUAGGGGGUCAUCCCGACUUACCAACCCGAUGCAAACUACGAAUACCGAAGAAUGUUAUCACGGGAGACACACGGCGGGUGCUAACGUCCGUCGUGAAGAGGGAAACAACCCAGACCGCCAGCUAAGGUCCCAAAGUCAUGGUUAAGUGGGAAACGAUGUGGGAAGGCACAGACAGCCAGGAUGUUGGCUUAGAAGCAGCCAUCAUUUAAAGAAAGCGUAAUAGCUCACUGGUCGAGUCGGCCUGCGCGGAAGAUGUAACGGGGCUAAACCAUGCACCGAAGCUGCGGCAGCGACACUAUGUGUUGUUGGGUAGGGGAGCGUUCUGUAAGCCUGCGAAGGUGACCUGUGAGGGUUGCUGGAGGUAUCAGAAGUGCGAAUGCUGACAUAAGUAACGAUAAAGCGGGUGAAAAGCCCGCUCGCCGGAAGACCAAGGGUUCCUGUCCAACGUUAAUCGGGGCAGGGUGAGUCGACCCCUAAGGCGAGGCCGAAAGGCGUAGUCGAUGGGAAACAGGUUAAUAUUCCUGUACUUGGUGUUACUGCGAAGGGGGGGGACGGAGAAGGCUAUGUUAGCCGGGCGACGGUUGUCCCGGUUUAAGCAUGUAGGCUGGUUGUCCAGGCAAAUCCGGAUAAUCAAGGCUGAGGUGUGAUGACGAGGCACUACGGUGCUGAAGUAACAAAUGCCCUGCUUCCAGGAAAAGCCUCUAAGCAUCAGGUAACAUCAAAUCGUACCCCAAACCGACACAGGUGGUCAGGUAGAGAAUACCAAGGCGCUUGAGAGAACUCGGGUGAAGGAACUAGGCAAAAUGGUGCCGUAACUUCGGGAGAAGGCACGCUGGUGUGUAGGUGAAGUCCCUGCGGAUGGAGCUGAGACCAGUCGAAGAUACCAGCUGGCUGCAACUGUUUAUUAAAAACACAGCACUGUGCAAACACGAAAGUGGACGUAUACGGUGUGACGCCUGCCCGGUGCCGGAAGGUUAAUUGAUGGGGUUAUCCGUAAGGAGAAGCUCUUGAUCGAAGCCCCGGUAAACGGCGGCCGUAACUAUAACGGUCCUAAGGUAGCGAAAUUCCUUGUCGGGUAAGUUCCGACCUGCACGAAUGGCGUAAUGAUGGCCAGGCUGUCUCCACCCGAGACUCAGUGAAAUUGAACUCGCUGUGAAGAUGCAGUGUACCCGCGGCAAGACGGAAAGACCCCGUGAACCUUUACUAUAGCUUGACACUGAACAUUGAGCCUUGAUGUGUAGGAUAGGUGGGAGGCUUUGAAGCGUGGACGCCAGUCUGCGUGGAGCCAACCUUGAAAUACCACCCUUUAAUGUUUGAUGUUCUAACGUUGGCCCCUUACCGGGGUUGCGGACAGUGUCUGGUGGGUAGUUUGACUGGGGCGGUCUCCUCCCAAAGCGUAACGGAGGAGCACGAAGGUUAGCUAAUCCUGGUCGGACAUCAGGAGGUUAGUGCAAUGGCAUAAGCUAGCUUGACUGCGAGCGUGACGGCGCGAGCAGGUGCGAAAGCAGGUCAUAGUGAUCCGGUGGUUCUGAAUGGAAGGGCCAUCGCUCAACGGAUAAAAGGUACUCCGGGGAUAACAGGCUGAUACCGCCCAAGAGUUCAUAUCGACGGCGGUGUUUGGCACCUCGAUGUCGGCUCAUCACAUCCUGGGGCUGAAGUAGGUCCCAAGGGUAUGGCUGUUCGCCAUUUAAAGUGGUACGCGAGCUGGGUUUAGAACGUCGUGAGACAGUUCGGUCCCUAUCUGCCGUGGGCGCUGGAGAAUUGAGGGGGGCUGCUCCUAGUACGAGAGGACCGGAGUGGACGCAUCACUGGUGUUCGGGUUGUCAUGCCAAUGGCACUGCCCGGUAGCUAAAUGCGGAAGAGAUAAGUGCUGAAAGCAUCUAAGCACGAAACUUGCCCCGAGAUGAGUUCUCCCUGAGACUUUAAGUCUCCUGAAGGAACGUUGAAGACGACGACGUUGAUAGGCCGGGUGUGUAAGCGCAGCGAUGCGUUGAGCUAACCGGUACUAAUGAACCGUGAGGCUUAACCUUACAACGCCGAAG